UACGGAGGGUGCAAGCGUUAUCCGGAUUUACUGGGCGUAAAGGGCGCGUAGGUGGGUUGGUAAGUUAGAUGUGAAAUACCUGGGCUUAACCUGGGAUGGUCAUUUAAUACUGUCAAUCUGGAGUAUGGUAGAGGGUAGUGGAAUUUCCGGUGUAGCGGUGAAAUGCGUAGAUAUCGGAAGGAACAUCAAUGGCGAAGGCAGCUACCUGGACUGAUACUGACACUGAGGCGCGAGAGCGUGGGUAGCAAACAGG
rnacentral:rRNA from 1 species